CUCCCCUUCUCCCCCCUUUCGCAAGAUCACUCUGUUGAUUUUGAUCUAGGGAAUGAUCUUCAUGAUCACUCUGUUGUUUGAUUUUUUAUAAAUUAUAUAGAUUUUUUACAAAGAAUCUGGAUAUAGACCCACAUUCUCAUAUUCUUAUAGAUUUUUUAUUUGUGAGUAUAUUUUUAUUUUAUUUGGAUACCCAGUUUUAUAGAUUAUGUAGAUUUUUUAUUUAUAUAUAGAUUUUUUUAUAAAGGCUGUGAUCUGCAAGCUAUGGAACUCUCUCAAACUCUGUAACGAUCUGUAAUCUAUCAAACGAUCUGAGCUCUUCAACAUAGAUUUUUUAUUGAGGCUGUAAUCUGCAAGCUAUGGAACUCUCUCAAGCUCUGUAACGAUCUGAGCUCUUCAACACAAGUAUGUAAAUAUCUCUCUCUCAAACUCUGUUUUGUUGGGUUCAUCGACUGAUUAGGUUGAUUUAUAUUUCAUUUUUCAUUUUUUUAUCAUUGAGAAUUAUGUCGGGUUUUUAUUGGUGGUGAUUUUAUAUAUAUAUAUAUACAAACGCCUGCAUGCAUAUAUAUAUGAUGUACAUGAUGUGUUUUUAACUUCUGAUUAAGGGCGUAUGAAGGGUUUCGUAGGUAUUGAAUCUAUGCUUGGAUUGUUUAUUUAUGUUAAGGAUUAUGGGUAUUGAUCUAAUGGGAACCCAAUUUCAAAGAUCCAACAGUCACUUCUUUCAUUUGACGAUUCGGAUUUUCUCAAAACUUCACUGUUUUGUUGGGUUUAACUUCUGAUUAAGGGCAUAUGAGGGGUUUCGUAGGUAUUGAAUCUAUGCUUGGAUUGUUUGUUAAGGGUUAUGGGUAUUGAUCUGACGGGAAAAAAAUAAUUAUUUGUUUGUAAUUUUGUUGUGUGAUCUGUUUUUUUGGAAGGUUGAUGCUAGGUUUGUUGGACAUUCAUUCUAAAUGAGAAAUGGUUUUUAUUUGGUUUAA